rnacentral:rRNA from 1 species
AUGGCCGAUGUGGUGCUUCUGGACUUCUGGGCGAGCCCAUUCGGGCAGCGGUGCCGGAUCGCGCUGGCAGAGAAGGGGGUUGCCUAUGAGUACAGUGAGCAGAACCUUGAGCAGAAGAGCGAGCUGCUUCUGAGAUCCAACCCCGUCCACAAGAAGAUCCCCGUCCUGCUCCAUGGCGGCAGGCCUGUCUGCGAAUCUCUCCUCAUCCUCACCUACAUCGACGAGGCAUGGCCGGAGGUGGCGCCGCUCCUCCCACGGGACCCCUACGCCCGCGCGCAGGCCCGGUUCUGGGCUGACUACAUCGACAACAAGAUCAUUGACUGUCAGACCCGCCUGUUGACGACGAAAGGGGAGGCCCUGGAGCAGGCCAAGAAAGACAUGAUCGGGGCUCUCAUGACCCUGGACUCAGAGCUCGGUGAUAAGGACUACUUCGGCGGUGAGGCGUUCGGCUUCGUGGACAUUGCGUUCGUGACCUUGACCCCCUGGUUUUACACCUACGAGAAGUACGGUGACUUCAGCGUCGAGGAACACUGCCCAAGGAUCGUGGCCUGGGCCGCCCGGUGCAGGGAGCGUGAGAGCGUGGCCAAGGCACUUACUGAUCCUGAGAAGGUGUAUGAGAUCGUCCAGGAGGAGUAUGGUGCCAACUAA